GGUUAAGCGACUAAGCGUACACGGUGGAUGCCCUGGCAGUCAGAGGCGAUGAAGGACGUGCUAAUCUGCGAUAAGCGUCGGUAAGGUGAUAUGAACCGUUAUAACCGGCGAUUUCCGAAUGGGGAAACCCAGUGUGAUUCGUCACACUAUCAUUAACUGAAUCCAUAGGUUAAUGAGGCGAACCGGGGGAACUGAAACAUCUAAGUACCCCGAGGAAAAGAAAUCAACCGAGAUUCCCCCAGUAGCGGCGAGCGAACGGGGAGCAGCCCAGAGCCUGAAUCAGUGUGUGUGUUAGUGGAAGCGUCUGGAAAGGCGCGCGAUACAGGGUGACAGCCCCGUACACAAAAAUGCACAUGCUGUGAGCUCGAUGAGUAGGGCGGGACACGUGGUAUCCUGUCUGAAUAUGGGGGGACCAUCCUCCAAGGCUAAAUACUCCUGACUGACCGAUAGUGAACCAGUACCGUGAGGGAAAGGCGAAAAGAACCCCGGCGAGGGGAGUGAAAAAGAACCUGAAACCGUGUACGUACAAGCAGUGGGAGCACGCUUAGGCGUGUGACUGCGUACCUUUUGUAUAAUGGGUCAGCGACUUAUAUUCUGUAGCAAGGUUAACCGAAUAGGGGAGCCGAAGGGAAACCGAGUCUUAACUGGGCGUUAAGUUGCAGGGUAUAGACCCGAAACCCGGUGAUCUAGCCAUGGGCAGGUUGAAGGUUGGGUAACACUAACUGGAGGACCGAACCGACUAAUGUUGAAAAAUUAGCGGAUGACUUGUGGCUGGGGGUGAAAGGCCAAUCAAACCGGGAGAUAGCUGGUUCUCCCCGAAAGCUAUUUAGGUAGCGCCUCGUGAAUUCAUCUCCGGGGGUAGAGCACUGUUUCGGCAAGGGGGUCAUCCCGACUUACCAACCCGAUGCAAACUGCGAAUACCGGAGAAUGUUAUCACGGGAGACACACGGCGGGUGCUAACGUCCGUCGUGAAGAGGGAAACAACCCAGACCGCCAGCUAAGGUCCCAAAGUCAUGGUUAAGUGGGAAACGAUGUGGGAAGGCCCAGACAGCCAGGAUGUUGGCUUAGAAGCAGCCAUCAUUUAAAGAAAGCGUAAUAGCUCACUGGUCGAGUCGGCCUGCGCGGAAGAUGUAACGGGGCUAAACCAUGCACCGAAGCUGCGGCAGCGACGCUUAUGCGUUGUUGGGUAGGGGAGCGUUCUGUAAGCCUGUGAAGGUGUACUGUGAGGUAUGCUGGAGGUAUCAGAAGUGCGAAUGCUGACAUAAGUAACGAUAAAGCGGGUGAAAAGCCCGCUCGCCGGAAGACCAAGGGUUCCUGUCCAACGUUAAUCGGGGCAGGGUGAGUCGACCCCUAAGGCGAGGCCGAAAGGCGUAGUCGAUGGGAAACAGGUUAAUAUUCCUGUACUUGGUGUUACUGCGAAGGGGGGACGGAGAAGGCUAUGUUGGCCGGGCGACGGUUGUCCCGGUUUAAGCGUGUAGGCUGGUUUUCCAGGCAAAUCCGGAAAAUCAAGGCUGAGGCGUGAUGACGAGGCACUACGGUGCUGAAGCAACAAAUGCCCUGCUUCCAGGAAAAGCCUCUAAGCAUCAGGUAACAUCAAAUCGUACCCCAAACCGACACAGGUGGUCAGGUAGAGAAUACCAAGGCGCUUGAGAGAACUCGGGUGAAGGAACUAGGCAAAAUGGUGCCGUAACUUCGGGAGAAGGCACGCUGAUAUGUAGGUGAAGUCCCUCGCGGAUGGAGCUGAAAUCAGUCGAAGAUACCAGCUGGCUGCAACUGUUUAUUAAAAACACAGCACUGUGCAAACACGAAAGUGGACGUAUACGGUGUGACGCCUGCCCGGUGC
rnacentral:rRNA from 1 species